CACCCUGCAACGGGACUGUGUUUUUCACAGAAUUGUUUUCCGCGUUUUCCCGCAAAAACUACGCUCUUUGACGGUGAUUUUUCGCCUCAGAGGGCCGCAUCUAUCAACCCCACUCUCUGGCUGGCCACUCAUCUACUCACACCUAAAGACGAAUUAUGUAGUUUUUCCACUUGGUGUACAGUCAGUUUGUUCCUGUCUUGCUUGAUAGAGGAAAGGUACUUGCUCUUAAAUUACAGUUUCAACGUAAUGUUUUAUCGUUCUAUUCAAAAAUUAUCGUCGUUCUAUUACAUACUUUUUACAUUUUUGCCUUUUGCUUUUUUUCAUGAUUUUCGUGAUAGUACGGAUAUUACCGUUUUUCGGAAAAUACCUGCAUUGAGGGUAUAAUCAUCCACCCUUCAAUUAUUAUGAAACUUAGUGAAGUCAAUCUAAAUGCCCUUAAAUGAACAUAUGCAAAGGGUUUUCUGACACGACUGAAAAUUAUUCACAAAAAUACUGGAUUUAUUGGAUGAGCGAAGCUAGCCUUCUCGAUGCAACAGGAUCAUUUUUUGACAGUGUGCGAAGAGUAAAAUUUCUGUUGGACACAAGAUAACUCGCAAGACUUAAAAUGCAUCAAAAGGCAUUUUAGAUGUGUUCAUUUAAAUGUGUUUUGUAUGAUUUUACUGAAUUUCAUGAAAAUUGGAGGGUGGAUCUUCUUGGAAUUAUAUUUAAAAUCUGUAUUUAAUUAUUGAAGACAUCUAAUAGAGAAAAUAUGUUUUGAAUACUAAGAUGAUUCUAAUUACUGUUCAGUCAAUAAUCAACUUGCAAUUUCAUACCACGAAUGAAAUUGCAGGAGCCCAAUGUGGGUGGAAGUGAGAUGGCAUCCAGGGAAAAGAAACCCUUAGCGCCUUACAAAGCAAAACAGAAGGUAAAUAAUGAUUGUGGCUUGUCGCCGACUGAAAUUAAGAAUAAAAAAGGCAAGUCUUUGUCUAAUCUGAAACAACAACAAAUUGCAAGAAAUAUUUUGGAAGCUGUGGCAACUGGAAGUCAACUUCCUUCAAAAUUGGAAGGGAGUUUACCGCAUAAAAAGGUUCUUAGGAAUCUUAAGCGUAAACAAAAAUUAAGAGUGGCAAAAGCAAAUCUUAUUAAAUCUAAAGCUGCGAGGAAAGUAACGAAUAGAAAUUUGUGUAGAAUAACUUCUGACAUCAAGAAGGGCGUGAAGACAAAAAGGGUUAAACUGUCAGACAUAAGCAGCGUUAAGGCAUUGGAUAUUAAUUCAAAAGGCUUGGAAAAUCAUUUGGAUACGGAAAGCGAACACAUAGGAACAGAAGCCACUAAUAGAAGUGCCAAGAACAAUCUCAGGACCAAAAAGACCAAGUUUGUACCAAAAACUAGCAGUGAGGUGGAAAACGAGGAUAUUCAGGAUACAGAUUCAGUUGCCGGAUCCAGUACUAAAAGCAGUCCAAAACUUAAUAGAAAAGGAAAAAGCUCAGAGAGUCCAGAUUCCUUAUCCAAGAGCGUUAAAGCAACAAAGGUAUCUGGAUUAAAAAAAAACAAUAUUAAAGAAAGAGGCAGUUGUACAAAAACUAUAGAAGGAGAUAUCAAGUAUACGAAGGGUAGGAAAAGUAACGGUAAAGACAUAGAUUACACUAACACAAGGACAUCUUUACUAGACACAAAAUUUUCAAAAUCAAUUUUGGAUAGUAAAAGUUCUAUAGAUCUUACUAUAGCAGAAGUUAUAGCUUCGAUGCUGAGCGAUUCAGAGAUAGAUACUCAACAGGGGAUAACGGAGAAAGUUGAAAGCAAACGAAGGAGCAAGAAAAUGCUGGUCGAAGAGAAUAUAAUUACAGACAUUGAAAUUAAAAAGGAACCAGACAGCGAAGACACUAAAACCACAUCCGAUGGAGAGAACAUAGAAACCGAAUCCUUUCAAGGUGCAAUUCAAUCAAGGAAAAGAUUGAACACUUCAGUUAGUCAAAGAAGUUUGAGAAAUGGAAAGUUACGGCAGUCAGACUCCGGUGUUUCCACUGACUUGGAACUUAAAAAGCGGAAGAGAUUAAAUUCUGAUGACCAUGCUGGUUUGGAAGUAUCGGCUGACAGUAUUACAAAUGGCAAUGCAGACACAGAAUCUUGCUUCUCCGAGCCUGGUGGUAAUGAUUCGGUUAUUGUGAUAACCAAAGAUGAACCCUCUUCGAAGCAAGAAACGCAAAAGAAUUUUGAAGACUCGCAAACCGGAUCAGAAACUGAGAACAAUAAUAACAGUGAUCGACUGGAGAGAGCCAACGAAGUGGGACCUAUGCUGCGCUCCAAAACAAAAGCCAAAAGAACAGAGGUUGAUAUAAAAAGUGACAAUAUAAAAGUUGAGUACACAAGAAUAGUACCCAAAGUUCCAGACAUCCAAGAAGAGUUAAAGAAAGCCAGUAAUUCGGAUCAAGUCAGAAAGGACAGCAUCUUAGCCAAGUUCUCCGACAAAUCCAAGAGUAGAAGAAGUAGUUUAAACAUAGACAUGAAGAAGACGGUGAACUCGUUCUACGGUACAGAGAAGUCUGACGGCAACCCAAAAUCCCAGAUCGACCAAAUGAUAGAGAACAUAAAGCUCACGAUCGCGAAGUCGAUCGAGAGGAAGAUCUUCGGGCCAGAGACAAGUCACAGAUUGAACAAAAACUUCGAGGUACCAAAAAUCGAGGAAAUAAUCGCCCCGCUAAGCGCGGAGUCCCAAAAAUUAGGUUUAGAGGAGAACACGGACGAGGACAAGUCCACCGUCUCCAAGAACGAGAUCAAGUCGGACAGCUCCGAGAAUUCCGUACCGAAAGUGGCCGAUACUGCCAAAGAAAUCGAGAAACUAGUCAUGGGUGAUAUUAAAACAGCGGAAACACAGUCUCAGAACGUGCAGGAGGAGGAGGGCGACGCGAGUCAGCUGGUGACGGAGAACGAAGGCAAAAUGAACGGAGAGGAGUCGUGCAUAGAAGAGGAAGCGAAGGAUGACAAGAAACCGGUGACCAGAAAAUCGCCGAGGAUAACGGAUAAGGACGAAUGUUGCAAGAAGAAGAAGCCGGAGAACUGCGAAUCUGAAGAGAAGUGCAAGGAAGUUCCGAGUGAGGAGCCGAAGGAUGAGAACGAUGUGGACAUUGAUGUGAUGGAACCGCAGAGCAGUGAAAUUUGUACGAACGCUUCUGAGGACGAGGAGACCUUGGAGAGCAUCGCUAAGGAGGUGGAGAAGCUAGUGACGAAAGGUCAGUUUGAGAGUCCGGAGGAGGAUACCCUGGAGCAAGGUAGCGCUGAAAUUUUGGAGCCAAGUGCAGAGUGUGAGGAUAAACAGGAAGUUACUGAUGAGACUAAUAUGAAAGAUGAGGGUGUUACAGAUGAGAAUGUUUCUGAAGAGAAGGAGUCCGUCAAGGAGGUUCCAGUCAAGGAGGUUCCAGUCCAGGAUGUUCCAGUCAAGGACGUUCCUGUCAAGGACGUUCCAGUCAAGGAUUCCAGUCCUGAAACGGUUCCCAAGGAGAGUCCCGUCUUCGAGGACACCAGAGUGUCAGACACUGAAGCUAGAGAGAAGAUCACUGAUACUCCUGAUGAAGAGACUAAGACUUGGUCCAGCAACAGCUCAGAGCAAGAUGAGACCGUACCCAAGGAGGAGGAGAAGGAGCAGAAGGUGGACGACAAGAAGAGAGUCCUACGAGCCCGUGACAAGAGUAAGAAGCUGGAGAAAGGUCAACUCUCGUGCAGCAGAGAGGCCAUCGACAAAACACCAGAGGAGGAGGAGAAGCCUGAGGAGGGCGAGAUGGAGGUGAAGACAGAGCCUGAAGCGAGUGAGAACACCGAGGAGAACGAGCUGGAGCGUCAAGCACGCACCAGGCGCAGCCGGGAGUUCAGGAAGCGCAGGGAGGACCAGCUGGUGUCGUCGAAGAACAAGAGACCGAAGCGGGACAUCCGCAAGUCGGAUCAGCAGAAAGAGGAGACGCUGCUGGACAACGAGGUGGCGAAGAUCAACGAGAACAAUCUGAGCAAGUACGAGAACGGCACCGACUGCGCUAAGUUCCGAGGGUUCUCAGAGGGCGUUGGAGCGAGCCUGGAGCAGCGGGAGGACAAGGACAGCGUGAGGAGCAAGUCGGAGAACGAUCUGACCAUCAGCAAGGAGGGUAGCAAAGCCAGCGAGAACAGGCUCUCCCGGAAUUUGUCGGAGAACAGGAUGAUCAAGCAGCCGGAGAACAUGCUGGAGAACGACUGCAAGGCGAAGACGCUGGAGAUCUUGCAGAAGGACUCCGACGAGACGUCUACUUCGGGAGAGUCCUCCAGCAGCAUCAAUCUGACGCCCAAGAUACUAGAGACGCCGGAGGACAAGGCGAAGAAGGAGUCCAUUUUAAGACUGCUCGGUUUGGAGUCCUUGGAGAAGGCGGCCGAGAGACUGAAUCAUCAGAAGCUGAAGAAGGAACAGUAUACUGGGACCUUGAAGACUGUCAUUCAAGUGCAGAAGGAGAAGGAGAAGGACAAGAGGCGAUCAAGGUCGCCGUUGAAAAUGGUAUUGAAACAAGGUCGCGGCGACGGGGAGGGCGACUCGCCUGAGAACUUCUACACUAUACAGAAGAAGUUUGGACCCAGUUGGGGAGAUAGCAGCUCUGGUGCGAACCGAAAGUUCUCUACUAACCACAGACACUCUUGCGACGAAGACAAUGAAGACACCGCGCCAAAGGAUCGUCAGUCCCUUGUUAUUCCAGAAAAGUCCUCGUCCUUUUCUAUCCAUCCGGGACGCCUUUGCGCGGACGUGUGCUGCUACUGCUUUGGAAAAUUUGGGUCCCUGGACACGCCGAUGCAUCUGGCGCAAAUGAAAUCGGACGAGAGACGCAAGAAGAUCUUGAACAUCGAACGACACCUCACCAAGGACUCUUGCUUGUGCGACGCCUGCUACCGUCACGUAGAUAGAAAGGCAAACACGAGUCCAACGAACAUGCAGACCAAAUCGCAGAAACACCACCGUCAACUGAUGGUGUCCAAAUGUUCGGCCCGAGAAUGCAGGGACGCUGCACGACAUCACGUGAAACGUCGAUGGUUGCUCAAGAUAAAAGCCGGUCUUCAAAAGCAGGUGGACAUCGAUUGGGAGUCGAGUCAGCACACGUCCAUGUCGUUCUGCGUCGGCCAUUACUCGAAGAUCGAACGAUUCCUGACUUGUGCGCUGUGCAAACGUCGCCUAGCAAGAAAUCACACUCAUCAGUUGGCGAACGCGGAAACCGACGAGUUGAAUCAGCUGCUCGGCCAGCAGGGGAUUCCGGUGCUGCUGGCGGCUGGGACCUUCGUCUGCAAGCUGUGCAGAUACUUCACGCAGUUGCAGUUGAAGUACAAGGAUGUGGAGAAUAUGAACACGAAUCAUAGAUCGUUUUUCAAGAGCUAUCGUAAAAGAAUUUUGCACUACCACGACAUCGAAGUACUGGAGAACGAGGACGACGACUGUCCGCAAAACCAGUCGAAAGACAAGGACAAACGGAAGAAGGCCAAGUGUCCACCUCCGGUAAAAAGCGGAAUCUCCAAGUCUCCCGAUGGCACGUCCAACUCGGUCCCCGAGAAAUCUACUCCGGAACCAACGAACAAGAACGAAGGAACCAAUUCGGAGACCGACAACGAAAACCGUACGGCGAAGACGGCGAGCUCGAACGACGAGACCGCCACCACGGACAUCCAGUUUCUCGGCAUCGAGAGUACGGUGGAGAAACUGAAGAAGCGCAAGCUGCUGGACACGCACUCGUACACCUCCAACGCGCCUUGCAACAUAUCUUGCGACAGCCCGAACGAGGUGGUGGAGAUCCUCGCGAUGGACAAGGAAGUUACUUUGACGAGAUUGCCAAAGAGACAGAGAACGAGCAACGACAUUAGUCCGGUGGUGCAGAGACUGGGCGCUAAUCCCUCCAUAAGUGUGCGCACCCUGUUCCCCGGGGAGGAGGAGAUGAAUCUCCACGCCAACAUCGAGUUCACGAAUGUUCGGGAGAUCACGCCUCAAGGCUGGGAGAAGUGCGCCACCAUGAUACAGUACGACAGGGACACGAAGCUCCUGUGGCAAGAGUUGCAAAGACCGUACGGGAACCAGAGUUCUUUCCUCAGACACCUGAUACUUUUAGAGAAAUAUUAUAGAUCCGGUGAUCUGGUACUAGCUCCGAACGCCUCUAGGAACGCGAUAAACUACUCGACCUCCGUGCAGAACCGACUGAUCUCGUACGAGGGCCCGGAGAAGAUGGACGAGCCGAUCAUGGAGCCGAUCGCCACGGAGUACCACAACUCCCGACGCCUGAGCGGCGGCUACGUGCUCGAGAGGGAUAGACUCCCUGUUCCAAGCCCGAACACCACCAAUACCAACACCGCCACGACGAAGGCUCCGUCGACCAGCACGCAAUCGAAAGGAACCUCGUCGCACGUCGUGAAAUUAAAUUCGGGCGUGUCGAUCAUCAAGAAACCACCUCCUAACUUGCAACGAUUAAACCUGCCGUCUACCAGCUCCACCGCGAACGGCAAGCGAAAAGACGGGCAAAAGCAGCCGGUCUCGGCUGGUGGCAAGGUGUUUCAACUGAGCGAGCCGGACUUCAAGCGGUUGCAGAACCUGAAGAAGCAGAAGCAGAUGCUGGCGGAGAAGCACGCUAUGAGCGGCUCUGCUGGCUCGACCUCGUCGCCUAGCAUUAAAUCUAACGCGCAAUACCAGAAGACGCAGAUCGCGGCGCAGACGCAGUUUCAGAAGCACCUGAAGAUGCAACAGGAGAUGCUGAAUCGUCAAAGUCGGGGAGACUUCGAGCCGCUGAUCUGCGACAUCCGCUCGUUGGCGAACGAGAACAGCCCGACGCAAAACUUACUGCACAAUCUGAACCUGCCAAAGUCGAUACAGGUGACCACGAAGAUGUCCAACCAUAUUCCGAUAUUGCCAAAAAUUCCGAAAUCGUUGACGGUGAUUCCUCAGACCGUCACCAAACCUGCCGAGAAAUGAAAGACGAACAGAGAACAACAGUGUAAGUAAAGUAGAUAUUAAUUCUUUAGACGAGCUAACUAUAUACGAGAUCGGUGAAAAAGAGAGCGAGGAAUGUGUGGCUGAAGUGCAAGAAUGAACGAGUUUCAGCUGUAACUGCGGAGGAGCUCGUGACGCUUUCUGCCAAGAAACGAUACCUGCCUUAUGUAGACAAGUUCGAACGGUUCAAACCGAUUACACUACCGCGUCAUUUCGCGAACGGACGAACAGGAAAGGAUACGGUUGCUAACGAUAUACGCUACACUACCAAAGCACGAGCGUGAACACGAAGAAAGAAGAUACCGUUGGGAGAAAAUCUGUUUCCGAGGAAAAGUGCCUAAAGUGUGAUGCAAAUGAAGUCGUUAGUUUUUAAUGACAAAUAUAUAUAUACACGUUGAACGGACUUGAAACUAGAAAAACAAUUAUGUACAUACACACGCACAUACAGGCUGUUCUAGCUAAGGCAGUGCAUGCUGAAAGAAAUUGGAGUCCCAGAAUUUUGUAAUCCUUCAUUUUGUGAUGUAAAAAUUGAGUGCGCAAUUGUGAUUGAAAUAUUGGUCAUGCAUGUACUCCACUCAAUUUUGAAUGGUUCAGAAAUGAAGUUGAGAAAAAAUUCUGAAGGUUCCUGAUUUCUUUUAAGAUCGAGGAGUUUUAACUGGGAUGUCCUGUGUGUAUAUACGUGUGUGUGCGUGUGCGUGUACGUCGUGUGAGUGCGUGUGUACGUGUGUGUGUGUGUAUAUAUAUGUAUGCAUGUAUACGUACACGGAAAUUAGAACAAAACGGAUGAUUGUUCGUCGCACAGGUGAAGGAUGUAUAGUUGAGGAGCACCGCUCCGCUUUUAUUUCUUUAUUCGACUAGAAAAGACAUUUCUCUUCGUUCCACGAGAAAAGCGAGUCUCGCUUGUGGAUCAUCUCAUCGCUAGACAUAUCUAAACGCGUUCUUCGAGGGAUAAAGGAUUUGAUCGCAAGAUGGCGCCUCAAGCCGAUCGGUAGUUCGUUCCUUUUUACGUUUCCCGAAGAUUACGCGAUUCUCCGUUGAAAGAACGGUGCUGAAGGGAGAAGUUAGAUAAAUGGCGGGAGAGUGGACCUAGGAAUAUUUCAGGAGGGAUUUCCAUUAAAAAAAAAAUUACAAGUCUGUAAAUUUAAUGUAACUUGUUUGUAAGAAGAUUCACUGAAGAGACAUUAAGGUUGGAAAUUUUAUUGUUCAGACGAUUCGACACAAUUAUAGAAAGAAUGUAGAGAAAUAUCGUGAUAAAAUAUUUCUGAACGAGAAGGUCGCAGAAUUUACAAAAAGAUUUUUAACCUCUAAGGGUUAUGUAUACUCCAUGUGUUCGUAGGUCCAGUUCCUUCGCCUGAGACCGAUAUUUCGUGUAUCCUGGGUGUCUGCCAUGACUCUAAAUCGAAUAAAAGCGCGUCCACAGGAUUCGUGAGGAAUCUGGAGGACGAGAGGACGCAGGGAAUUCUGGUACCGUUAACGGUAAACAGAGAUUGUACAUUAUAAAUUCUAUAUUUUGGCCUGCUCGAUAGAGAGGAGCAUAACGACGACGUAUAAUUAAUUCUGUGGGCGAUUGUUCAUCGAGAAAAUUGUGUUAUCGUGUGAAUUGGUAAAUACAUUCUUACGAGUAGAUUGUAGGCUUACAUGCCUCGAGCUUAUUUAUUACGUUACUAUAAUCAUUAUACUACACUGUACAUAACUGAUAAUUAUUUCUAGUUGGUAACCAAUUAUUAUUACUACUAUUACUGCUACUAUUAUUUUAUUAUUAUUAUUAUUUUAUUAUUUUAUCAUCAUUGAAUAAUAAUUCAAUUUCUAGAUACGCCACGACGAAUUUAGUAGGAUUCCACUAUCAAGUCGAAUAACGAUUCGCUAGUUCAAGAGAGGUUUGAGAUUUCGAGCUUCUUUGGAGUGAAUGUACGAGCAUGAAGAGAUAUACAUGUAUGCACGCAUAUAUGUGUAUAUGUAGGAAGACCUUUUCUACUUCUUCGUGCGUUUGCAUGGUCGCCACGUGAAAAUGAUCCUGCAUGAAGGAAAUUUAAGAGAGAAUUCCUCGUUCUCUUUCGGAUACCAUUCGAUUGAUGCGUCGUCGCGAGAGUAAUUGCCUUAGUAGAACAUUAUUGAUUGUAAAUAGUUUAAAAGUGAGAGAGAGGGCAAAUGUAAAUUAGAUUUUCACGUUCUCGCGUGAUGGAAAACUGUAAAAGAGAGACUGUUAUCCGUUGAAUCCUCUGGAAACGGAGGUUGCUCUUGAACCGAUUACCUCAGUCUCGGGAAUUAUUUUCUGUAACGCUUAUCGUUCAUCUUUCUUUAUACAUGUUUGCAUCGACUGUUCGCCUAUGCACUAGUUACACGUUCACCAAAAAAUAGCACUAAACAGUGAAAGAAAUCGGUUCAGGAGCAAAAAGUUUUGUUAAAGAUACUUAACGUGGGCUGUGGUGAAUAUUCUGUUAAAAAAUUGCUAUUUCACAAGUUCUUACACGGUUCUGUGUAUCCCUAGGGAAAUAGCAAUGUAGGAAGAGUUAAAUUGAUCAAUUUCCAAACGAAAGCAUUUCGUUGUAUAUUCAUUGUUUCUGAAAACUGGCCCUCACCGGUGUGUAAAUUCUUCAACGGUUCGUCUCUCUCCAUCGGAUCUGAAACGAAAAACGUUAGAAUUUUUGAAGCAAGAUUUGUACAUCUAGACAAUCAAAUUGUUUGCGAAUGAUUAAGAAUCUGAAACGGUCGCAUAACGCAGCUCCAACGAAAGAGCCUGCGUUGUAAUCUAAUCUGGAAAAACGUUCACGUGGCGGCAUGUAAAUGAGAACACACACAUACACAUACACACACAUUUACAUACACGGAUGGUGCACGGUAACCGUGUGUAUAUUGUGAGUUGCGCGUACGCGUGAUAGGAAAGAGUAUCUGCGUGAGUAUUGUAUGUAUAUUAAAAAAAUAUAUAUAAUACUAAACCUUAUAAAAAAAAAAUAUAUAUAUAGUGGAUAAAAUUAUGAUACAAAACAGUACUUGACGGUACGUUAUACAUAUUAAAAUGCUCUAUUUUAUUAAGGAUAUUUUUGAUAUAUCUAUAUAUAUAUAAAUAUAAAUAUAUGUAUAUCAAACUAAAGAAAAAUGCGAAUCACCGAUCGACGAGUAUCGAUGGUAUAUGUAAUUAUUGUUAUCGACAGAUGAUAGCGUCUGAAUUUACGAGAUGGUAUUUACUGAGCUGUGUGCAGCGCGUGUCGAAUGUAUUUCUAAAUAGUAAAUCGAUGAUUGACAACAAGGUUGUUGAUGAAUUUCUUCUGUUUCUGCUUUCUGCGCGCCUGUAUGUGUUACAUGUGUGUGUUGUGUGUGAACGAGUGCGAGAAGAUUGUUUACGAAUGGUGAUUUCAAUGUCUCGUACCGAGAAUCACUGUUCCUUAUUUAUUUUCGUAUAUGUGUAUGUAUACACACAUAUAUAUAUAUUAGCUUGCUGCGACGACGAUUGAAGUCUCAACCCUUUCGCUUCAUUUCUUCUUUCUUUCCUCGACUCUAAAACAAGGAACACGAAAAUAUAGUUUUAUAAUCGUUAUUGUAGAAUAAUUGUUAAAGCCGUUCUUUGUUACAUGAUUCGUGGACAGAGUAUCAGAGAGACAUCUCGAAGAAUCGAGAAAUGGUUCCUUCGUUUGAGCGCGUCAAAUUUUCCUUCUUUCUCUUACCUGCUGAGCCUGCGAACUUUUAGGGUUAAUUUCUUUUAUUUCGCACUUCUUUUAAUGUUUAAUCGAUGUAUGUUUAUUGUAUAACCUGUAUAUCGAUUCUGUGUUAAAACUUGCAUAAUUUUCUUCUCCAUUAGAUUCGAAUAUUAUUUAUCGUCGUUGCUACAUCAUCUUGCGUCGGUCAAAGUUAAAUGCACCUUCUGGAAAAAACGUAUUAGCAUAAACAAUGAAAAGCAGUUCGGUCAUUGCUCAAACAAUUAUAUAAUUGUUAACGUGUGAAUGUUUCUUUGAAUUUAUACACCAUCAUUGCGUCAGCAAUUUGUUAAAUUGUAUAAAGUAAUUUAUUUAUCGAAAUAACGUGGAAAUCGACUUUUAGGUACGCGGUGUUGUUUUAGGAACGACAUUCGAGUUAGAUAGUGACGUACUUUCUUAAACUAUCGAAUCAAGUUACGAAUCGAUCGAACGUCAAAACGAUUCUUCGAUCGAUAUAUGUAUGAUAACGCAACAACUAGUUUGUCAACGCUAACUGCAUACUUCUCAGCAAAUAAAUUGCCUCUGUGAGUGUGUGCGUGAUGUGUGUGCGCGUGCGCGUAUCAAGAUACACGGAAGUGUGGAAAUACUAAAACGGGGGGAGGGAAACAAAAGAAAAAGCGGAGAAAGCGCGCGCGAACAGUGUGAGUGAACUGAGUUUAAGUUUUAAGAAUUCUAUUUUUGUGAUUAAAAGAAAAGUGUAAUUAUUGUAGGCAGAAAUGAGGAAGAUGGAUGCAGGAAACGUGGAAUGAUUUUUGUUAAAGGAACGCGUUCGAAACUUUCCAUUUUUUUCUCAAACUUUUCUGACAAACUUUUGACGAUUUACACAUUCCGACGCUUCCUUCGGAUUACGACAAGAGACCUUCCACUACUGAUCCAAUGUGCUUGUAUUUUCAGAUCUUUAAAUUAAGUUUUUUCGUUGUAGGAAAAUUGGGAAUUAAAAAGUAGUGGAACUUCUCUCAGUCAGAAUUUUUCCUGGGAAGCUUAGUGCAGUUUCUGACAGGUCUAUACUGCGCAUGCGCGUAAACAUCGAAGAAACAAUCGAGAGCAUACUUAUCGACCAACGAACGACACUUUGUUCAUAGAUGUAUCGAUAGAUUCUUUUCAGUUUUUCUUUUUAGCUAUUAUAUCUUCGUUAUCGAUCGGAAUGCUAUAUGAUAAUAAAUUACCGACUGUACUAGAAUUUUUGUCGAGUGCCAUUUCAAUAUAUCGGAACAUUGAAUCGAUAGCGUUCCCACUUUCGAGAAAAAAAGAUCAUUCAACGCUCCUGCAGCUAAGAAAUAUUUUUUUUGGCGAACGACAAACAAGGACAGGAAAAGCGACAGAAGCUAAAGUGCGCCGGACGAUCAAUCGCUUUACUUAGAAAAGAUAUUUUAUUAGACGAUACGUGAAUCGUGGUCAUUAAUAUUAGUAAUGAAAAGGGGGAAAAGCAAUAAAAAAAAAA
rnacentral:misc_RNA from 1 species